rnacentral:rRNA from 1 species
UCCGGAGGCGCAUCGCCGGCCCGUCUUGACCGCUGCUCCCUCCUCGGCGAAAGAGGGAUUUCGAUCUCUUCGGACGCAUUGGGGGCGGAGAAACCAGUCGGUGGGGCGGAGCAAGAGCACGCACGUUGGUACCCGAAAGAUGGUGAACUAUGCCCGGGCAGGAUGAAGCCAGAGGAAACUCUGGUGGAGGUCCGUAGCGAUUCUGACGUGCAAAUCGAUCGUCGGACCUGGGUAUAGGGGCGAAAGACUAAUCGAACCGUCUAGUAGCUGGUUCCCUCCGAAGUUUCCCUCAGGAUAGCUGGCACUCGGGAAAGGAGGAAACAGUCUCAUCCGGUAAAGCGAAUGAUUAGAGGCAUUGGGGCCGAAACGGCCUCAACCUAUUCUCAAACUUUCAAUGGGUGAGAUGUCCGGCUUGCUCGAAUUAAAACUUGAGAAGAUUUUGUUUUUUUGGAAUUGGCCGGUAAUUUCCCGUUUCGGCGGGUUGUUAUUUGGUUUUUUUCUUUUAAAAUAUAAAUCCUCAUUUUUUAUGAAGCACGGACAUAGGAUGUGAGUGCCCAGUGGGCCACUUUUGGUAAGCAGAACUGGCGCUGUGGGAUGAACCAAAAGCCGGGUUACGGCGCCCGAUGCGGACGCUCAUCAGACCCCAUGAAAGGUGUUGGUUGCUAUAGACAGCAGGACGGUGGCCAUGGAAGUCGGAAUCCGCUAAGGAGUGUGUAACAACUCACCUGCCGAAGCAACUAGCCCUGAAAAUGGAUGGCGCUCCAGCGUCGAGCCUAACCCCGGCCCUCGGUCGGCAGAAAACUUUCUCUCGAGAGUCGAUGCCCCGAGGAGUAGGAGGGUCGCGGUGGCGUGCACUGAAGGGACGGGCGCGAGCCUGCCUGGAGCCGCCACCGGUGCAGAUCUUGGUGGUAGUAGCAAAUACUCGAGUGAGAACCUUGAGGACUGAAGUGGAGAAGGGUUCCAUGUGAACAGCAGUUGAACAUGGGUCAGUCGGCCCUAAGGAAUAGGGGAAACCCGUUCCGAAUCAAAGCCGGAAUAAAAAUAAGCGGAAUAAACAUAUUUUGACCGGCGAUGACCGAAAGGGAAUCGGGUUAAUAUUCCCGAACCCGGAUGCGGAGAUCGACUCGUUUUAACCGUUUUCUUCUUUAUUCCGUUUCCCCGCCCCCCUUCCUCUCUACCGUCGGUUCAAUUUUUUCUCUCUGUCGUGGUUCUUUCUUUUCCCUUCGUCUUCCCCGUCAAACGGAAGCGGAGGAAUCGAUCGCAACUAACGGGAGGUCAAAAUCCCCUCGGGAAAUUGGAUGCGUGGGUGUCGGGUGCCUAUUCGGUCGGAGGAUCACGGAGCGAGUCCGAAGCGGCAACGCCCAACGAACUCGGAGAUUGCCGGCGGGAGCCCCGGGAAGAGUUUUCUUUUCUUUGUAAAGGACGGACUCCCUGGAAUCGGUUCGCCCGGAGAGAGGGAUGUUGUUCCUGUAAAGCACCGCGGCUCUUGCGGUGUCCGGAGCGCUCUCGCUGGCCCUUGAAAAUCCGAGGGAGAGAAAAAACGAUUUCCGCACCGGACCGUACCCA